rnacentral:rRNA from 1 species
UACGGAGGGUGCGAGCGUUGUCCGGAAUUAUUGGGCGUAAAGAGCGCGUAGGCGGCUUGUCGCGUCGGAUGUGAAAGCCCGGGGCUUAACCCCGGGUCUGCAUUCGAUACGGGCAGGCUAGAGUUCGGUAGGGGAGAUCGGAAUUCCUGGUGUAGCGGUGAAAUGCGCAGAUAUCAGGAGGAACACCGGUGGCGAAGGCGGAUCUCUGGGCCGAUACUGACGCUGAGGAGCGAAAGCGUGGGGAGCGAACAGG